UGUUCGGUCCAACCUUAUCCCCUGCAAUUUCCCCGCUCUCCCCUCACUCGCCGUGGUAAAACAAUGGCGCUCCACCUCGCGCGACCGUUCCUCCCCGCCGGCCUCCCGCCGCCGGCGCGCCGGCGCGCUCGUGCCCGGGCGCAUCCCCUCUCCCCCACCGCCGACGCGCGGCCCCCGUCCUUCAGGAGGCCCUACACGUCCGUCCUGGUGGUGCCCACGGGGGUCGGCGCCGCGGUCGGGGGCUUCGCCGGCGACGCCCUCCCCGUGGCACGCGCCCUCGCCGCCGUCGCCGACUGCGUCAUCUCCCACCCCAACGUGCUCAACGCCGCGAUGCUCUACUGGCCGACGCCCAAUACGCUUUACGUCGAGGGAUACGCCCUCGACAGGUUUGCCGAAGGCGCCUGGGCUCUUCAGCCAGUCCACCAGAACAAGGUAGGCUUGGUGUUGGACUCCGGGAUCGAGGAGGAGCUCCGGCUCCGCCAUUUGCAGGUCGCGGAUGCGGCGAGGGCUUCGCUCGGCCUCCCUGUUGUGGAGUACGCUGUCACGGAUGCUCCUUUAGAGAUCAAGACCUGGUUCGAUCCGAAGUGUGGGAAAUCAACCGGGAGUGUCGGGAACUCCGAUUCCCUGUUAAGAGCGGUCGACGCGCUAGUGAACCAGGCAGGCGUGAAUGCUGUGGCUGUUGUCGCGCGCUUCCCAGACGACGACCCUGAAGAUUCAGAUUGCUAUAGGGAAGGAAAGGGAGUUGAUCUGUUAGCCGGAGUUGAAGCAAUCAUCAGUCACCUAAUUGUGAAAGAAUUCAAAAUUCCUGCUGCUCACGCUCCUGCGGUGUUGCCCCUGCCACUCAGCCCAUCAGUGUCCCCACGAUCUGCUGCUGAAGAGAUUGGUUAUACCUUUCUACCAUGUGUGCUUGCUGGUUUAAGCACUGCUCCUCAGUAUGUGACGAGGAGGCAGGGUACCUUGGACAGUGGUUGCAUAGUGGCUAGUGAUGUUGAUAGUGUGAUUCUUCCAAGAGAUGCCUGUGGAGGUGAUGGUGCUCUUGCCUUUUCUCGAACUGCAAGAAAGAACAAGCCCUUAAUCAUUACCGUUCAGGAAAAUGAGACGGUGCUCGAUGACACCCCUGAUAAAUUCAAUAUUGAAGCGCUGAAUGUCCAGAACUACUGGGAAGCAAUUGGAGUUAUUGCUGCUCACAAGGCAGGCAUCAAUCCAAAUGCUCUCAGAAAACAAGGACUUGACCAUCUUAAGAGCCAUCGACGAUUGUACUCUGCCCGAUCUUCUGGUCCUAGGCCAUACGCCUCUUCUGCAACGCAGGAUAAAGUAUAUGUACACCAGUUAGUUUGACAAUUUAGUACAGAAGAAAUCAGUUUUAGCAAGUAGGAGGCUGCAAAUUUUGAAGUCCCAGUGUCAUUGUGAUCAUGGAUGUUGUACUCGAAGCCAUUCUUCGGAUCAAUUAAUUUCUUCAGUUGCUAGACAGGGGCAGUGCUAUGCUCCCUGUCCACCACACAAGUGUCAUGCUGAUUGCUUUUUGACGGGCAACGGGCAGGAGCUCUGCCAAUUCAUUAUAGAAGAAGGGAGAAGGACCAAAAUCCCACAGUUUGGUACAGACAGUGCCAAGACCACAUAGUGGCAAAGCGAAGCAGCUAGUUAAGAUACAGCCUCCCAGAACAAAGCUAUCUCAUCUCUCGCCAUGGCUGUAAUCGUCUCAGGCGAACACCUUUUCUCCUCAAACGUUCGGCGGUUACGUUCCUUCCAGAGAUUCCACACCACGUAGGCCGCCGUGGUUACCUGCUUGCGCGAGUCCUGAAGCUUUCCCAGCCCAAGCGUUUUCCACCACCAAUCCUUGAUGGUAGCAGAAGAUGAAGCAAUGAUGGCCGCCUUGCCGUCCGAGUUCUGAAACCCAUGCCAAACCUCCCGGGCGAAGACGCAGUCCAAAGAUGUAUGAGUCGUCAUGCUGAUUGCUGAGGGCAUUUAUGUCUUGAUGUGUCAUUCUGCGCUCUCAAAUCGUCGACUCUCUGUUGUUGCUGUCUGCAUCUACUCAGAAUACGCAUGUUUGUCAGAGUGGGUAGUUGCUGCUUUUGCUUGCUUGUUCCAACUACCAAUCAAACUGCACCUUCAACUUAGAUGAGAUGCAGCUUAUGACUUGCUGUUUGUGUGUGUUAGUGUACUAGAUGCCUGUUUGUUUAUGCUAGCUUGCUGUUGAAGUACAUAUUUACCUGAUUUGCACUUCACAUGCAGAUUCUGUGCCUUUAAAUAGGUAAGGUCUUUUUUCAGCAAUAGUUUCUUUUUCUCACUAGCAUA